rnacentral:rRNA from 1 species
UUGAACUGAAGAGUUUGAUCCUGGCUCAGAUUGAACGCUGGCGGCAUGCCUUACACAUGCAAGUCGAACGGCAGCACGGGUGCUUGCACCUGGUGGCGAGUGGCGAACGGGUGAGUAAUACAUCGGAACAUGUCCUGUAGUGGGGGAUAGCCCGGCGAAAGCCGGAUUAAUACCGCAUACGAUCCAUGGAUGAAAGCGGGGGACCUUCGGGCCUCGCGCUAUAGGGUUGGCCGAUGGCUGAUUAGCUAGUUGGUGGGGUAAAGGCCUACCAAGGCGACGAUCAGUAGCUGGUCUGAGAGGACGACCAGCCACAC